GGUCGGUUAGCUCAGCGGAAGAGCACCCCGUUCACACCGGGAAGGCCAGAGGUUCGAACCCUCUACCGACUAC
rnacentral:tRNA from 1 species